CUACGGGAGGCUCCAGUGGGGAAUAUUGCACAAUGGACGAAAGUCUGAUGCAGCAACGCCGCGUGGAGGAUGACACAUUUCGGUGCGUAAACUCCUUUUAUAUAGGAAGAUAGUGACGGUACUAUAUGAAUAAGCACCGGCUAACUCCGUGCCAGCAGCCGCGGUAAUACGGAGGGUGCAAGCGUUACUCGGAAUCACUGGGCGUAAAGAGCGUGUAGGCGGGUUAAUAAGUUGGAAGUGAAAUCCUAUGGCUCAACCAUAGAACUGCUUCCAAAACUGUUAACCUAGAAUAUGGGAGAGGUAGAUGGAAUUUCUGGUGUAGGGGUAAAAUCCGUAGAGAUCAGAAGGAAUACCGAUUGCGAAGGCGAUCUACUGGAACAUUAUUGACGCUGAGACGCGAAAGCGUGGGGAGCAAACAGGAUUAGAUACCCGGGUAGUC
rnacentral:rRNA from 1 species